GUCCACGCCGUAAACGAUGGGUGCUAGGUGUCGCGGGCUUUGACUCCUGCGGUGCCGUAGCUAACGCAUUAAGCACCCCGCCUGGGGAGUACGGCCGCAAGGCUAAAACUCAAAGGAAUUGACGGGGGCCCCGCACAAGCGGUGGAGCAUGUGGUUUAAUUCGACGCAACGCGCAGAACCUUACCUGGGCUAGAAAAUGCAGAGACUUGGUCGAAAGGUCGAGGUGCUCUUCGGAGAAUCUGUAGUUAGGUGCUGCAUGGCUGUCGU
rnacentral:rRNA from 1 species